rnacentral:rRNA from 1 species
CGCCUUGCCAGCCCGCUCAGAAACUCAAAGGAAUUGACGGGGGCCCGCACAAGCGGUGGAGUAUGUGGUUUAAUUCGAUGCAACGCGAAGAACCUUACCUGGUCUUGACAUCCCGGAGACCCUUAGGAAACUAGGGGUGCUUCCAUCUGGAAGAAUCUGGAGACAGGUGCUGCAUGGCUGUCGUCAGCUCGUGUCGUGAGAUGUUGGGUUAAGUCCCGCAACGAGCGCAACCCUUGCCUUUAGUUGCCAGCAGUUCGGCUGGGCACUCUAAAGGGACUGCCGGUGUUAAACCGGAGGAAGGUGGGGAUGACGUCAAGUCCUCAUGGCCUUUAUGACCAGGGCUACACACGUACUACAAUGGCCGAUACAAAGGGCAGCGACACUGCGAGGUGAAGCCAAUCCCGUAAAAUCGGUCUCAGUCCGGAUUGGAGUCUGCAACUCGACUCCAUGAAGUUGGAAUCGCUAGUAAUCGUGGAUCAGCAUGCCACGGUGAAUACGUUCCCGGGCCUU